GGGGCGUUAGCUCAGCAGGUUAGAGCAGGGGACUCAUAAUCCCUUGGUCGUGGGUUCGAGCCCCACACGCCCCACCA
rnacentral:tRNA from 1 species